CAAGCGUCUGGGGUAAGGAGUCGCUGCCAUCAGCCAGGCCCCACUGAUGAGUCUAGGCAGUGACUCCGAGACGAAACGCAAA
rnacentral:hammerhead_ribozyme from 17 species